UUUCCGUAGGUGAACCUGCGGAAGGAUCAUUACCGAGAGUUGUAGGCUUCUGUCUACCAUCUCUUACCCAUGUCUUUUGCGUACUAUACGUUUCCUCGGCAGGUCCGCCUGCCGUUAGGACAAACUUAAACCAUUUGCAGUUGCAGUCAGCGUCUGAAAAACUUAAUAAUUACAACUUUCAACAACGGAUCUCUUGGUUCUG
rnacentral:misc_RNA from 1 species